UAUUUCAUGUAAAUUAUCGUAACAUUUUUUCCGUCACACUCCGUAUAUUACGGUGGCCCUCAACGGUUCACUGCUCUCGAAUCUCAUGUGUGUCAGCACCAGUUGUUUGUUUGCUGUUUCACUCUCGAUCGGCAUCGACUUAGCCUUUUAUUAGCAAUAUUAAAGUUAGACACUUUGCGCGUUUAUGCAGGUUUACUAAUUCGAAACUACAAACUUCAAUUUACUACUUAAUUUACUAAUUAAUCGUAGCAUACACACUCCGAUUGCUUCUGGAACGCUCUGCUGCAAUUAUCUCCUCUUGGUCGUCCACUAUCUGCCUCAAUUCCUGGAGCCAAUCGUCUAGUGUCUAACCCUUUGCAGAUCAAGAUCGGCGCUGCAACUACCGCUGAGGAUACAAGCCACUCGUGCUCGCGAAACGUCGGGAAGAAAGCUGUUUGUUAUUUCUUGGAGUUGAAAUUUUCUAUUUAAUUCUGUAAUCCACUGUUGUGCAAUGUAUCCAAAAAACAUAUGCGUGCAUUUGUUUAAUAUAUUCUGCUCUUAUAA